GACGAACGCUGGCGGCGUGCCUAAUACAUGCAAGUAGGACGCAGUUGCGAACGGGUGAGUAACGCGUAGGUAACUACCUAUUAGAGGGGGAUAACUAUUGGAAACGAUAGCUAAUACCGCAUACUAGUAGAUGGACCUGCGUUGUAUUAGCUAGUAGGUAGGGUAAUGGCCUACCUAGGCAACGAUACAUAGCCGACCUGGGAGGGUGAGGGGCCACACUGGGACGUAGGCACGGACGAGACUCCGACGGGAGGCAGCAGUAGGGAAGCUUAGGGAAUGGGGGGAACCCUGACCGAGCAACGCCGCGGGAGUGAAGAAGGUUUUCGGAGCGGAAAGCUCUGUUGUUAAGGAAGCGGUACUUAACCAGAAAGGGACGGCUAACUACGUGCCAGCCGCCGCGGUAAUUC
rnacentral:rRNA from 1 species